AUUGAACGCUGGCGGCAGGCCUAACACAUGCAAGUCGAACGGUAACAGGAAGCAGCUUGCUGCUUCGCUGACGAGUGGCGGACGGGUGAGUAAUGUCUGGGAAGCUGCCUGAUGGAGGGGGAUAACUACUGGAAACGGUAGCUAAUACCGCAUAAUGUCGCAAGCCCAAAGAGGGGGACCUUCGGGCCUCUUGCCAUCGGCUGUGCCCAGAUGGGAUUAGCUUGUUGGUGGGGUAACGGCUCACCAAGGCGACGAUCCCUAGCUGGUCUGAGAGGAUGACCAGCCACACUGGAACUGAGACACGGUCCAGACUCCUACGGGAGGCAGCAGUGGGGAAUAUUGCACAAUGGGCGCAAGCCUGAUGCAGCCAUGCCGCGUGUAUGAAGAAGGCCUUCGGGUUGUAAAGUACUUUCAGCGGGGAGGAAGGGAGUAAAGUUAAUACCUUUGCUCAUUGACGUUACCCGCAGAAGAAGCACCGGCUAACUCCGUG
rnacentral:rRNA from 1 species